rnacentral:antisense_RNA from 1 species
AGCUCCUGAGGGCAAAGCCUGGGCCUCAUCCUCUUGUGGAUCCAGGAGAGCAGUCGCUGAAGAGAAAGAGGAAGAAAAGGAGUGGCUAGAAAAGAAAGUUUAUUUCCACUGCAGGAAGCACUGCCUCCCAUCUGAGAAAUGUCCCAAGCAGGAAUCAGUGCUGCAAUGACUUAUGAGUGAAUGCAUCAAAAAGACCAAGUUGAACUUAUGAGCAAAUGCAUCAAAAAGACCAAGACUUGAUCCCUUGCCCACAAAGAUACAAGGCUGAGGACAAAGCCAUGAAGGAAAAGCCUCAUUGAAGAAGAGGAACCUAAGAGAAGCAGGUUCUGCUCUGAUGAACUCCCAUAAAGGCGUUCCCAUAAAGGUGUGAGCCUGAGUGAUAAUCUAGAUAUGGUACAGUUGACAUCAGGUAUAUGGCGGCAGCCAGAAAUUCAACUUUGUCCAUCAGCUCUCUGCACAACAGGAAAGAUGGUGACCUUCCA